GUGCUUUGGUGGCAUACAUCCUAAAAUUGGAACAAUACAAAAGCCAUUAGCAUGGCUCUUGUGCAAGGGUAACCUUCAAAUUCAUGAAGCAUUCUAUAUUUUC